rfam:Raoultella planticola strain GCSL-DIFS-295 CFSAN029441_contig0387, whole genome shotgun sequence.
GAUGAAGCGAGGAGGUGAAUAUGAUGAGGUCUACCGCGAAACAGUUCUACCAACGCUACUUUUCUGCGACGCAGGACGCGUCAUGGCUGGCCCGCCUGAUGGCAGGGAGACAGCAGAAGAUUCUUGGCGAGCUGAUGCAGUGGGGAGUUACGUCACAGACCUCUGAUCAUUGACUUGCCCACAUCAUGUGUGACUGAGUAUUGGUGUGUACUUAUCCUCUUUCAGACCCAGGCCAGUUGACUGAACCAUAACGUUUCGGUCGCCAGCCUGUCACUUGAAACAGAUAGAGUAUAAAAUCACCCGCCAGCAGAUGACUUCUGCUGGCUUUUUCG